AAAUCUGCUCUCUGCAUUCCCUCAGCACAGAAGAACCUGGUUUGGUGCUUUGCCGUUCAUUAUACGUUACCUUUACAUAGGUGGUUUCACAUAUAUUCGUCUUCAAUUGGUUGCAUAUUGUGGGUCUGCAUUCAUUUGCAUGUUUUACAAGAGUUUGACCUGCGACUCAACAUACCACGGGAUGUAACUGAAGUGGUAAAAUGGCCCAGCUGUUUCUUUUCCAGUUGUUCAGGGUUUGGAUACCAAUUCUGGGGAACUAAACCUCUGAGAGCUAAACUGGUGGAAUAUAACACAGAAAUGGAUGCAACGAGCUAUCUGCAGAAACAACCCCCGAGAGUUCUCGUAAAGGUAGGCCUGAGAAAGUAUAACAGCAGCCAAGUUCAAGGUGUAAACACAAGGGAGCAGGGCUGGAAUGUGAACUGAAACCAAGAAGGCCCACACCUAGACAAGUGUGUUUAUAAACUGUGUCUAAAUGGGAACGGGGAGUGUUUGUCCGGGGACCUAGCUAAAGUCUUACCACAGCCGCCUCCCUCUGAAAUUCAUAGGGGAAUUAGGCAUCAAGGACAAGAGCAGAAUGUGUGGACUUGCUUCUGUGAACUUUUAUCCUGAACUCCAGUGGAGUUGCCUUGUGGACCAGGCUGAGGAUUCAGAAGGCCUCCUUCUGCUAAAUUAAAUGCAGGCCUGCUUUGCUCAUUUUCUUCUGGGCUCAGCUCAAUGCCUCUAUCUUCUCAAUUGUAGCACGCAGACGUCAAGGAAAGGCAGUACAAAAGCCUACCAAGCCAAAGGGAGGGCCAGCCUGCAUCUCCUAAGGGCAAUGGGGCACAGGUCUAUCUGAACUGCCCACCCCAUGCUCUCUCCACAGCCAGGAGCCGCUCCUGGUCAUCUACUGUACCAGGUAUGUAAAGGCAAGGCAGAAACCCAAGAAAGAAAAUGCUGGGAAAAAGAGAACACAGCCUUAGUACAGUAGCUCAAUAAAACUCCGUCUUGACAAGUUCA
rnacentral:lncRNA from 1 species